GGGGAUGUAUCUGAGCGGUAGAGUGUACGCUUUGUAUGUAUGAAGCCCUGGGUUCAAUCCCCAGAAUCUCCA
rnacentral:tRNA from 1 species